AUGUCAUGGUGUGGGCAUGUUGCAAUGUACUCCUGGAGACGUUCCCAGGCUUUCGGGAUUAUUUUAUCCUAGAGUUGUUGGAAACUGGAAAUCCUAUUCCGAAGGGU